UGAAUUGUUGUUUGAUUACAUCUCCCCCUUGCGGGCCCAUGCACCCUUGCGGAUUAAAUGUGUCGGGGGAGUGGUUGGGGGCGACAUGCGGGCCCGGAGAUGAACGCCAAGCAGACACGUACGUGUCCGUUCAAUGUUCGUCUGGAUGCAAAGCUGGCAUAAAAAUGCGCCUGAUUUAGGUUAGAACGGACACGAGUCGAACACUUUUUAGGUUUUGUUUUACACAUUGACCGUAAAUCAGCUCCAUUUUUGACUUACACGAACACGGAAGGAUCAAAUAGGUCGCCGGUUGGUGUUGGACUUAUUGCCGUGAUACAUAAAAUAAACGUCUGAGUUUUGGCGUCGAUGAUUUAAUUACUACACUUUUAAGAACGGCCGGUAUCAGCGAAUUUAUAUUCGUCGGACGUGCGUGCAUAGGUUCGGACAAUAUACGUGUACACGUCCGCAUACUCGUGAAGGAACAAGAAAACAACGUGCGUUCAAAAAGACAUAUGGGAUUAUACUCGUGAAGGAACAAGAAAACACGUCCUCGUGGAGGCAUGCACUACAUUUACUGUUGGGACGGCGCAACUCCCAGCCUUGAGCUCGCCGCCUCGGGCCACCUCUCCUCUGCCAUCGGAUCCAUCCGUUGUCCAUCUCUCUACCGUCUCUCUUGUUGGUUCCUUCAUCGCUUGUACCAGCUGUUUUCUUUCUCUCUGCUCCUGAGCUGCACACAUGCUACCUUUUUUAUUCUUCUUUACUUGUGAAGUGUAAAGAUGACUCAUAUAUCUCAUCCUUUUUUGGUUGGUGUCAUGGCUUACUUGAUUCUUGCAACCGGGGAACGUAUAUAAGUUGGUUGGGUUUGAUUUGACGGUGCAAUAUCGGACUAUUAAUUUUUAUUUUGAGAAUUAUAUCGGACUAUUAAUUACAAAAGAAAAUAAAAAAACAAAUAGUUUAUAGGACCAUAGCAUA
rnacentral:lncRNA from 1 species